UGCAUCCCACCAUGUAAUUAUUCCCUUCGAACAAAGGACAAGCUUAGGAGGAAGCCCUGGCUAAUGAUGGGUAAGGUUUGAGCUUUUUUUUGUGUGUGUGUGUGUGUG